AUGAACGCUGGCGGCGUGCCUAAUACAUGCAAGUCGAGCGAACAGAUAAGGAGCUUGCUCCUUUGACGUUAGCGGCGGACGGGUGAGUAACACGUGGAUAACCUACCUAUAAGACUGGGAUAACUUCGGGAAACCGGAGCUAAUACCGGAUAACAUAUUGAACCGCAUGGUUCAAUAGUGAAAGGCGGCUUUGCUGUCACUUAUAGAUGGAUCCGCGCCGUAUUAGCUAGUUGGUAAGGUAACGGCUUACCAAGGCAACGAUACGUAGCCGACCUGAGAGGGUGAUCGGCAACACGGGAACGGAGCACGGGACCAACCCCCGGGGGGAGGCAGCAGGGGGGAUUCUCCGGAAUGGGGGAAAGCCCUAAGGGGCAACCGCGGCGUGAGUGAUGAGGUUUUUCGGAUCGAAAAACUUUGUAAUCGGGAAAGAAAAAAUGUGUAAGUACCUGGCCACAUCUUGAGGGUCCCUGAUCAGAAAGCCAGGGCAAACUCGGUC
rnacentral:rRNA from 1 species